rnacentral:rRNA from 1 species
AGCAGUCGCCACGGUAAUACGUAGGGUGCGAGCGUUAAUCGGAGUUACUGGGCGUAAAGCGUGCGCAGGCGGUUGUGUAAGACGGGUGUGAAAUCCCCGGGCUUAACCUGGGAACUGCGCUUGUGACUGCACAGCUAGAGUAUGGCAGAGGGGGGUGGAAUUCCACGUGUAGCAGUGAAAUGCGUAGAGAUGUGGAGGAACACCGAUGGCGAAGGCAGCCCCCUGGGCCAAUACUGACGCUCAUGCACGAAAGCGUGGGGAGCAAACAGGAUUAGAUACCCCUGUAGUCCCUGUCUCUUAUAA